CCUACGGGAGGCUGCAGUGGGGAAUAUUGCACAAUGGGGGAAACCCUGAUGCAGCGACGCCGCGUGAGCGAAGAAGUAUUUCGGUAUGUAAAGCUCUAUCAGCAGGGAAGAAAAUGACGGUACCUGCGUACGAAGCUCCGGCUAAAUACGUGCCACCAGCCGCGGUAAUACGUAUGGAGCAAGCGUUAUCCGGAUUUGCUGGGCGUAAAGGGGGCGUAGGCGGCCUGCCAAGUCUGAUGAGAAAUACCGGGGGUCAACCCCUGGGCUGCCUGGGAACCUGGCAGGCUAGAGUGCCGGAGAGGCAGGCGGAAUAACUAGUGUAGCGGUGAAAUGCGUAGAUAUUAGGAAGAACACCAGUGGCGAAGGCAGCCUGCUGGACGGUGACUGACGCUGAGGCACGAAAGCGUGGGGAGCGAACAGGAUUAGAUACCCGGGUAGUC
rnacentral:rRNA from 1 species